rfam:Biomphalaria glabrata isolate BB02 linkage group LG28i unlocalized genomic scaffold LG28i_random_Scaffold1392, whole genome shotgun sequence.
UAGCUGAGCGGUAAAGCACUUGGCUUCUGAACCGGGGGCCCCAGGUUCGAAUCCUGG